GCAAGCAGCCUCAAAAUCUUAUUUCCCUGAUCCCGUCUGAUCUCGGAAGCUAAGCAGGGUCGGGCCUGGUUAGUACUUGGAUGGGAGACCACUUAGGAAGACCAGGUGCUGUAGGCG
rnacentral:rRNA from 1 species